AAGAAGAAGAGAGUCUUCUGCCAAGACUACCGUGGCUUCUUUCGAUUGGAAGGACAUCUCCUCAUCUGUGACAACAGUGACAAUAUAAUUUUUAACCCAAGGCAGAGACCAUCCUUGGGUGGCAGAUAUUCUUUCCAAAGGAGCUGUGUCUGCUGUUUCCAGAACUGCCUUCUUUGAAGUGCAGAGCCUUGCUGAGAUUCCUGUGAAUGAAGUAAUGGCCUUCAAUGCCUCUCAUCACACCGUUUCACCUGUGCCGUGAUGCACCUCUGCUUGAGCCAAGUCUCACCAGGCAUUCCACCCAAGCUGGCUCAUUUAAAACACAGAGAACUUGUCGGAAGAUAGGUGGUGCAAAGCCCAAGGAACUGCUGAAGAGGCUGCAUCGAAGAUCCAGCAUCCACAGUGUACAUCAUGGAAUCCAGACUGUGCCAAUUGACAGCAAUAGAGAGGCCUCAGGGUAGGUAUUAAUGGUGAAUGACCAUGUACAUAUUAGAUCCAAGUGUCAGAUCUCCAUGAGGAGCAAUGUGGAAGUACCUUGCAAAAGGCAAAUCUCUCUAAACGAUUUAUUAUUGUAUCUGCGGC
rnacentral:lncRNA from 10 species